UCAAUGAUUUUUUAAAUUGCUGUAGUAUUUUGACUAUACAAAGGUAUUGUAAUAAGACUUUAAUUGAGUGCUAAGAGAAUGGAUUUUCAAAAAAAUUCUUUUUUAAGUUUAAAAAUUAAAGUUAUUUUUAUUUGUGAAGAAACAAUAAUAAAAAUUAAAGACAAGAAGACCCUAUGAAUUUUUAUAAACUUUAAUAUUUAAUUAAAUAUUAAAGUUUAUUUAAUUGGGGCGAUUGAGAAAGAUAAAAAACUUUUUUUUUUAUUUAAAGA
rnacentral:rRNA from 1 species